rnacentral:rRNA from 1 species
GGUUAAGCGACUAAGCGUACACGGUGGAUGCCCUGGCAGUCAGAGGCGAUGAAGGACGUGCUAAUCUGCGAUAAGCGUCGGUAAGGUGAUAUGAACCGUUAUAACCGGCGAUUUCCGAAUGGGGAAACCCAGUGUGUUUCGACACACUAUCAUUAACUGAAUCCAUAGGUUAAUGAGGCGAACCGGGGGAACUGAAACAUCUAAGUACCCCGAGGAAAAGAAAUCAACCGAGAUUCCCCCAGUAGCGGCGAGCGAACGGGGAGGAGCCCAGAGCCUGAAUCAGUGUGUGUGUUAGUGGAAGCGUCUGGAAAGGCGCGCGAUACAGGGUGACAGCCCCGUACACAAAAAUGCACAUGCUGUGAGCUCGAUGAGUAGGGCGGGACACGUGGUAUCCUGUCUGAAUAUGGGGGACCAUCCUCCAAGGCUAAAUACUCCUGACUGACCGAUAGUGAACCAGUACCGUGAGGGAAAGGCGAAAAGAACCCCGGCGAGGGGAGUGAAAAAGAACCUGAAACCGUGUACGUACAAGCAGUGGGAGCCUCUUUUAUGGGGUGACUGCGUACCUUUUGUAUAAUGGGUCAGCGACUUAUAUUCUGUAGCAAGGUUAACCGAAUAGGGGAGCCGAAGGGUGACUGCGUACCUUUUGUAUAAUGGGUCAGCGACUUAUAUUCUGUAGCAAGGUUAACCGAAUAGGGGAGCCGAAGGGAAACCGAGUCUUAACUGGGCGUUAAGUUGCAGGGUAUAGACCCGAAACCCGGUGAUCUAGCCAUGGGCAGGUUGAAGGUUGGGUAACACUAACUGGAGGACCGAACCGACUAAUGUUGAAAAAUUAGCGGAUGACUUGUGGCUGGGGGUGAAAGGCCAAUCAAACCGGGAGAUAGCUGGUUCUCCCCGAAAGCUAUUUAGGUAGCGCCUCGUGAAUUCAUCUCCGGGGGUAGAGCACUGUUUCGGCAAGGGGGUCAUCCCGACUUACCAACCCGAUGCAAACUGCGAAUACCGGAGAAUGUUAUCACGGGAGACACACGGCGGGUGCUAACGUCCGUCGUGAAGAGGGAAACAACCCAGACCGCCAGCUAAGGUCCCAAAGUCAUGGUUAAGUGGGAAACGAUGUGGGAAGGCCCAGACAGCCAGGAUGUUGGCUUAGAAGCAGCCAUCAUUUAAAGAAAGCGUAAUAGCUCACUGGUCGAGUCGGCCUGCGCGGAAGAUGUAACGGGGCUAAACCAUGCACCGAAGCUGCGGCAGCGACACUAUGUGUUGUUGGGUAGGGGAGCGUUCUGUAAGCCUGUGAAGGUGUGCUGUGAGGCAUGCUGGAGGUAUCAGAAGUGCGAAUGCUGACAUAAGUAACGAUAAAGCGGGUGAAAAGCCCGCUCGCCGGAAGACCAAGGGUUCCUGUCCAACGUUAAUCGGGGCAGGGUGAGUCGACCCCUAAGGCGAGGCCGAAAGGCGUAGUCGAUGGGAAACAGGUUAAUAUUCCUGUACUUGGUGUUACUGCGAAGGGGGGACGGAGAAGGCUAUGUUGGCCGGGCGACGGUUGUCCCGGUUUAAGCGUGUAGGCUGGUUUUCCAGGCAAAUCCGGAAAAUCAAGGCUGAGGCGUGAUGACGAGGCACUACGGUGCUGAAGCAACAAAUGCCCUGCUUCCAGGAAAAGCCUCUAAGCAUCAGGUAACAUCAAAUCGUACCCCAAACCGACACAGGUGGUCAGGUAGAGAAUACCAAGGCGCUUGAGAGAACUCGGGUGAAGGAACUAGGCAAAAUGGUGCCGUAACUUCGGGAGAAGGCACGCUGAUAUGUAGGUGAAGUCCCUCGCGGAUGGAGCUGAAAUCAGUCGAAGAUACCAGCUGGCUGCAACUGUUUAUUAAAAACACAGCACUGUGCAAACACGAAAGUGGACGUAUACGGUGUGACGCCUGCCCGGUGCCGGAAGGUUAAUUGAUGGGGUUAGCGCAAGCGAAGCUCUUGAUCGAAGCCCCGGUAAACGGCGGCCGUAACUAUAACGGUCCUAAGGUAGCGAAAUUCCUUGUCGGGUAAGUUCCGACCUGCACGAAUGGCGUAAUGAUGGCCAGGCUGUCUCCACCCGAGACUCAGUGAAAUUGAACUCGCUGUGAAGAUGCAGUGUACCCGCGGCAAGACGGAAAGACCCCGUGAACCUUUACUAUAGCUUGACACUGAACAUUGAGCCUUGAUGUGUAGGAUAGGUGGGAGGCUUAGAAGUGUGGACGCCAGUCUGCAUGGAGCCGACCUUGAAAUACCACCCUUUAAUGUUUGAUGUUCUAACGUUGACCCGUGAUCCGGGUUGCGGACAGUGUCUGGUGGGUAGUUUGACUGGGGCGGUCUCCUCCUAAAGAGUAACGGAGGAGCACGAAGGUUGGCUAAUCCUGGUCGGACAUCAGGAGGUUAGUGCAAUGGCAUAAGCCAGCUUGACUGCGAGCGUGACGGCGCGAGCAGGUGCGAAAGCAGGUCAUAGUGAUCCGGUGGUUCUGAAUGGAAGGGCCAUCGCUCAACGGAUAAAAGGUACUCCGGGGAUAACAGGCUGAUACCGCCCAAGAGUUCAUAUCGACGGCGGUGUUUGGCACCUCGAUGUCGGCUCAUCACAUCCUGGGGCUGAAGUAGGUCCCAAGGGUAUGGCUGUUCGCCAUUUAAAGUGGUACGCGAGCUGGGUUUAGAACGUCGUGAGACAGUUCGGUCCCUAUCUGCCGUGGGCGCUGGAGAACUGAGGGGGGCUGCUCCUAGUACGAGAGGACCGGAGUGGACGCAUCACUGGUGUUCGGGUUGUCAUGCCAAUGGCACUGCCCGGUAGCUAAAUGCGGAAGAGAUAAGUGCUGAAAGCAUCUAAGCACGAAACUUGCCCCGAGAUGAGUUCUCCCUGACCCUUUAAGGGUCCUGAAGGAACGUUGAAGACGACGACGUUGAUAGGCCGGGUGUGUAAGCGCAGCGAUGCGUUGAGCUAACCGGUACUAAUGAACCGUGAGGCUUAACCUU